GUUUAACUGUUCGCAAAUUAUCGAUUAAAACGAGAGAGAUUUUUGAACGUCUCGAAAACCAUUUUGUAAAGUGGCGCUCAAAAAAGUCCUGUCGCGCCAUCUGCCAGACUAGGGAAUUACUCGUACUGCGCAAUUUGACCGGCAGAUGGCAGCACAGUUUCGCUUGGCGCCCGUUGAAAAAUCGAAACUGGCGCGGCGUAAUUUCGCGAAAAAUUGCGAAAAGGUGGUGAACAAUUAACGACAGCUUGUUGCGAGUGUUCAUUAGUCGUCUGUCAACGAUAUUCUACGACGAGACGAGGUGAGUACCAUUCUCGUUCAAAUGGAAAUUACCAAUUCCACUAGUUUAAAGAACACGAGCUCGGUGAGUUCUACCAUUGAAUACAUAUUUUUCUCUGUUCGUGGUUGAAAAAUUCUGGUCCUAAAAUUUUUCUCGUUUCUCGCAAUUGAGUGACUUGCGAAUCCGUUGUUGUAGCUCGUUAAAAGAGUAAACAUACGAAUUAAAUGGCGGGGAGGGAGGGGAGAUGCGAGUGUGGGUUUAACGCAAGAAACAAUGGA